GGUAGCGAAAUUCCUUGUCAACUAAUUAUUGACCUGCACGAAAGGCGCAAUGAUCUCCCUACUGUCUCAACAUUGGACUCGGUGAAAUUAUGGUACCAGUGAAAACGCUGGUUACCCGCAUCAAGACGACAAGACCCCGUGGAGCUUUACUAUAACUUCGUAUUGAAAAUUGGUUUAGCAUGUGUAGGAUAGGUGGGAGACUUUGAAGCUGGGACGCUAGUUCUAGUGGAGUCAACCUUGAAAUACCACCCUUGCUAAAUUGAUUUUCUAACCCGUUCCCCUUAUCUGGGAAGGAGACAGUGCGUGGUGGGUAGUUUGACUGGGGCGGUCGCCUCCUAAAGAGUAACGGAGGCGUUCAAAGCUACACUCAAUAUGGUCAGAAACCAUAUGCAGAGCACAAAGGUAAAAGUGUGGUUGACUGCAAGACUUACAAGUCGAGCAGGUGCGAAAGCAGGACUUAGUGAUCCGGCGGUACAUUGUGGAAUGGCCGUCGCUCAACGGAUAAAAGCUACCCCGGGGAUAACAGGCUAAUCUUCCCCAAGAGAUCACAUCGACGGGAAGGUUUGGCACCUCGAUGUCGGCUCAUCGCAUCCUGGAGCUGGAGUCGGUUC
rnacentral:rRNA from 1 species